rnacentral:rRNA from 1 species
AUUGAACGCUGGCGGCAGGCCUAACACAUGCAAGUCGAGCGAGCGGCGGACGGUUGAGUAAUGUGUGGGAAACUGUCUGAUGGAGGGGGAUCACUACUGGAAACGGUAGCUAAUACCGCAUAACAUCAGAUGUGCUCAGGUGGGAUUAGCUAGUAGGUGGGGUAUCGGCUCACCUAGGCGACGAUCCCUAGCUGGUCUGAGAGGGUGACCAGCCACACUGGAACUGAGACACGGUCCAGACUCCUACGGGAGGCAGCAGUUGGGAAUAUUGCACAAUGGGCGCAAGCCUGAUGCAGCCAUGCCGCGUGUGUGAAGAAGGCCUUCGGGUUGUAAAGCACUUUCAGCGGGGAGGCGUUACCCGCAGAAGAAGCACCGGCUAACUCCGUGCCAGCAGCCGCGGUAAUUC